GUAGGGAGCAAGCGUUAUCCGGGAUUUACUGGGGCGUAAAGCGUCUGUAGGCUGUGUAUAUAGUCAAAUGUUAAAUCUACAGGGCUCAACUUGUAGUCUGCAUUUGAUACUUAUGUACUAGAGAUAGGGAGAGGUAAACGGAAUUUCCGGUGUAGCAGUGAAAUGCGUAGAUAUCGGAAGGAACACCAAUGGCGAAGGCAGUUUACUGGCCCUUUUCUGACGUUGAGAGACGAAAGCGUGGGUAGCGAACGGGAUUAGAUACCCCGGUAGUCCACGCUGUAAACGAUGGAUGCUAGAUGUUGGAGGCUCGACCCCUUCAGUAUCGAAGCUAACGCGUUAAGCAUCCCGCCUGGGGAGUACGAUCGCAAGAUUA
rnacentral:rRNA from 1 species